CCUCCAAACACUAAGUUUUUAAUUCUGGAAGUCAGGAUUGCAUUAAAAAUGUAGGAUUAAUUGUCUCCUGAUGGAAAAUAACCUAAUGCUAUAAAAUAAAAACAGGACUAGCAUUAAGCAGAAGCGGCGGCAGUAAAGUGGACUUUCAACAAAAUCAGUCUUUUGAGAACCCACGAAUGAGCCCCUACCGUGGAUCCCUCACACAUGCGUAUUGGAUAAGAUAUUACGAAUAACCUAUCCCGUAGCAUGACGUAAGCACGCAACUAUAACGUAUAAUUCAAAGACUUGCAUUACAGCACGCAUUCUUUGACUCCCCGCCUCAUCCAUAUCCAUAUAUUUAUUUUCAUUUUUUAAAAAUAGAAAUACUAAGUGUGUUACCCUCUGCUUAUCUUAACAUUUUGACACAUGUGUCCAUCAGUGCGCUCCGUUACGCACAGAGAGGAAGGAGACGUCGCCGCACGUAAGGCAGCGUGACCCGCAGGAGCUCCGGGAAAGCAUCUGCUGCAACAGCAUGACACACUCUGCUGCUGCGUGCUGAUCUUAAGUCGUCCCUAUCUCUCUUAAAACGUUUCCCUUUUACGUGUAUCCUUCAGCCUGUUUAUUAGCGUGGAAACGUCAAUGUUUUACCGUUGGAUCUGCUGGUAUAUGUCUGGCUCGCUCUCCCUACAAGCUGUUGACUCAGGUGACUCAGUGAAGGAAGGUGCAGGUUUGAAGAUCACUACUAGGUCGUCUGUCAAACGCUGCCAGAAUAAGAUGCUGGGUUUAACCAAAGAGGGAGAUGCGUCAUUCAAACCAGAACAAUGGACACCGGUUCACAAUGGUCAACGCACAGCCGUGCAAAAUGUGUUUUAUUUUCAGUACACGUCGUCCAAAGCAGCCGGUGUGUGUGUGUGUGAGAAAGAGAGAAAGGGAGGGAGGGAGUGUGGGAGAGAGAGAGAUAGAUAGAGAGAGAGGGAGGGGGACCAGCGACGCAGCAGCUCCGCGCGCACUGUCACCCGAGGCUGGGGAGGAGAUGUUGGGAUGCGGGAUGCUGGCAGAAGUAACACCUUGGCCUCCGUUUUUUCUCUAACGCAAAAGUAGAGACAACCUUUUUAAAAACUCUUCCGUGAGUUGGAUCAAGUCUUUGUGCAGGUUCCCUCUCAGUCAGUGAAUGCUUGCAACAUUUUGGCUUCUCCCAGGACUCCUGGCUCUUGGUUAAACUCGAGAGAUGAUGCUAGAAACUUAAAAUAGGCUACUGGAUGGACUUGGACUGGAGAAUCGGAAUUUAUUCAAAGUGUAUGCCUGAAUCUGUGGUGUGCAGACAGAAGUGCAAUCACACAGAGAUAUACACACACUCCAUCUGCAGGCCUGAGUGUGAAGACUGCAGGACAACAGGUCAGCGGAGACACACAGCAACGACUGCUCUGAGGAUCUGAGGUCACACUGUGGGUCGGACUCUCAUCCCUCCAAAGUUACAGCAGGAAGAAGAAGAGGAAGAAGAAGAGGAGGAGGAGGUAGUGGAGGAGGAGGAAAAAGAGAAGAAGAGUGGGUGGAAGGAUGGAAGGAGAGAAGGAUGGAAGCAGUUCGAGGAGGUGGUUCGAAGCGGGUGAACCCAGAGCAGGUGAACACAGCUGUGGAUCGCCAUGGGCUCUCUGGCUGCCUUUCUCCUGUGGCCCCGGCGCUGCAAACAGGGGUCCUGGGGAGCCAGCAGGGGCCAGCCAAAGCUGCGGCAGAGUGGGCAGGCUGGGCCAGCCGAGCCAGGAGAGAGGCAGGUGAGGCGGGUGAGCCGAGCUCUCAUCCCCGCCGGCUAGGAGCCUCCGCGGCAGAGCGGAGCAGCGCAGAGCAGGAGAAAUCAAUACAGAGGAGAGAGGCUAGCAGAGGUUGCCCAGCACAGCCUGCAGGCCUUGGAGCCCAGGGACCAACCACCACCACUGCUCCCAGCUCCUCUCUGCUUCUCUCUUUCUAUCUUCCUCAAACAGUGCCAGCAUCAGCUAGGGCCAGGGCCCUAACCCUGCAACCGCCCCACACGCAGUAUGUGUGUCAGGAGGUGCACAUGUGUGUGUAAAAUUGAGAAAAAAAGGGAGAGGGAAAAGAAAGAGAGAGGGAGUCUUUGUGUGUGGUUCACCCGAAGGGGGUUUUGCUACGUCCAACAGCGCUUGAUAAAAGUUUGUCAGAGAGACACAGAGACAGUGAGGGAAGGAGAGAAACUGAAAAGGAAUGAGACAGGACGUCGAAGGUCUCUUUUUCUUCCGGCUCCCUCCCUCCUAUUACACAUUCCACCUUAACAGUUUGAAUAAGGAAACCAGUGGAGAUGGUACAUUUCUGCUCACUCCUUCCAAGCUCCUGGCGCACAAUAUUCCUAAGAUCUCAUGAGCCAGGAUGAAAGGACAAUUUGAACUUUUUCUCCCAUCCCCUGUAUCAGACACAACCUGUCUUUUCACCUUAGAUUUUCUUACCCUCACUACAGCAGCUCCCAUCAGAGGAUAUGGCAGCGCAGUAUUGAUCUGGAAGGUGGAAGAGAGGAAGGCGGGCCAGGGCUUUCAUACCGCUCUCUCCCUCUCCAUGUGUGUGGAAAUAGCACCUGAAGUCCACUUACUGCCGUGCAGCGGGGAUCCCAUGGCAGCACGAGUGAAUGGCUGCUAAUUGAAUGAGAGAUGAAAAGGACAGUAGUUGUACGUGUUCAAACCCCCCCUCCACUCCUACCCCUACCCGCUUCUCCUGUCUGCUACUACGUGGUUUUCCAUCUGACUUUUUUUUUUUUUUUGUCCUCCACAUUAACAAAAGUCCACUCAGAGAGACUCCCUUUUGAGAUGUUUUAACACAAUUGGCAGUGACUGAAAACAUUUGAAAGACCCUCCGGAAUAAACCCCCCCCCCCCCCUCCCAGCAUAUGUAGCACCGGUGCAGAGGUGAAGCCUUGAAAAGAAAACAGAGAAGAAGAAGAAGACAGCAGAAAAGAAAAAAAAAAACGUGCCAUGCCAGAAAACAUGUACUGUACAACUUUGUCUGCUUUGAUGGGCGAUACAAGACAACAGGAAAACGUUCACAC